rnacentral:rRNA from 1 species
GAUGAACGCUAGCGGCAGGCUUAACACAUGCAAGUCGAGGGGCAGCAUCAAUUGCUUGCAAUUGGAUGGCGACCGGCGCACGGGUGCGUAACGCGUAUAGAACCUACCUAUUACAGGGGGAUAGCCCAGAGAAAUUUGGAUUAAUACCCCAUAUUAUUGUCAGAUGGCAUCGUUUGAUAAUGAAAGAUUUAUUGGUAAUAGAUGGCUAUGCGUCCUAUUAGCUAGUUGGUAUGGUAACGGCAUACCAAGGCAACGAUAGGUAGGGGUCCUGAGAGGGAGAUCCCCCACACUGGUACUGAGACACGGACCAGACUCCUACGGGAGGCAGCAGUGAGGAAUAUUGGACAAUGGAGCAACUCUGAUCCAGCCAUGCCGCGUG